rnacentral:rRNA from 1 species
GAUAAUUAUUUAAGGGCCGCAGUAUUCUGACUGUGCAAAGGUAGCAUAAUCAUUAGUCUUUUAAUUGAAGGCUUGUAUGAAUGAUUGGACGAGAUAUAAUCUGUCUCAUAAAAAUUUAGGUAGAAUUUUAUUUUUUAGUCAAAAAGCUAAAAUAAAUUUAAAAGACGAGAAGACCCUAUAGAUCUUUAUAAUUUAUUUAUUAAUUUUUUUAGGUUAUUUUUUGAAUUAAUAAUUAAAAUUAUUUUGUUGGGGUGACAAUGAAAUUUAAUAAACUUUCAUAAAUAUAAAACAUUGAUUUAUGAAUAAUUGAUCCAGUAUUACUGAUUAAAAAGUUAAGUUACCUUAGGGAUAACAGCGUAAUUAUUUUGGAGAGUUCUUAUCGAUAAAAUAGUUUGCGACCUCGAUGUUGGAUUAAGAUUAAUUCUGGGUGUAGCAGUUCAGAGUAUUAAGUCUGUUCGACUUUUAAUUUCUUACAUGAUC